rnacentral:rRNA from 1 species
GACGUAGGGCGCGAGCGUUGUCCGGAUUUAUUGGGCGUAAAGCGUGCGCAGGCGGUGAUGUAAGACCGAUGUGAAAUCCCCGGGCUUAACCUGGGAACUGCAUUGGUGACUGCAUCGCUCGAGUAUGGCAGAGGGGGGUAGAAUUCCACGUGUAGCAGUGAAAUGCGUAGAGAUGUGGAGGAAUACCGAUGGCGAAGGCAGCCCCCUGGGUCAAUACUGACGCUCGGGCACGAAAGCGUGGGGAGCAAACAGG